rnacentral:rRNA from 1 species
CAGAGGUCCCAAGCGUUGUUCGGAUUCACUGGGCGUAAAGGGUGCGUAGGCGGUCGGGUAAGUCUGACGUGAAAUCUUCAAGCUCAACUUGGAAACUGCGUCGGAUACUAUUCGGCUGGAGGAAUGGAGGGGAGACUGGAAUACUUGGUGUAGCAGUGAAAUGCGUAGAUAUCAAGUGGAACACCAGUGGCGAAGGCGAGUCUCUGGACAUUUCCUGACGCUGAGGCACGAAAGCCAGGGGAGCAAACGGGAUUAGAUACCCCGGUAGUCCUGGCCCUAAACGGUGCACGUUUGCUGUAAGAGGAAUCGACCCCUUUUGUGGCGAAGCUAACGCGUUAAACGUGCCGCCUGGGAAGUACGGCCGCAAGGUUA